CUAAAAUAAGACACAACUAAAACAAAUGCAAAAAGGUAAAGCUGAAGUAUCUACAGGGGUUAAGAUUAGGAAAGUGUGUUCUACUUGGGAGAUCUUCGUCUUCGCAUAUGGGACAUUUUUGGUCAAGAUCCAUCUGAAAUUUAGUCUUCAUCUUUUAAAAUCCAAGGUGGGUAUGCUUCAUUUCUUGAUCAUUUUCACCUUUUACUUCACCUUGUUCAGUCUGUUGGAUGUGUUCUUGAUACGAGAAGUUGUUGAUCAAGAUCGAAAUGAAAUUUGUCCUUCUCCUCCAGAAAUCGAGUGCUAGGAUUAUCCACAUGUUGUAUGGCUACCUCAUCAUGUUGAUUUGCAUCAUUAGCAGUAUCUUCUACCCUGGAGCUUCCAAUCUCUGAGGACUCACUAUGUUUGUCCUUAUCCUUUGCUACAGUAUCUUCAUUGUUAUCGACUUGUAUUUGUUCAUUUGCUGGUCCCAUAUUAAUUUUGGUCAUCUCCUGUUGAAUAUCAUUGACUGCAAUUUCCUCCACCUUUGAAUUCUCACUGUCAACACUAUUUAUGUGUUUUUGAGACUCA